rnacentral:tRNA from 1 species
GGUCUUUUAGUUUAAGUUAAAAUGUAGAUUUUGUAAAUCUGUGAUGAUUUUAGUCAUUGGCCA